rnacentral:piRNA from 1 species
UGUUUUCCCGAUGCAUCCGAUUG